rnacentral:rRNA from 1 species
AACGAACGCUGGCGGCAGGCCUAACACAUGCAAGUCGAGCGCGCCCUUCGGGGUGAGCGGCGGACGGGUGAGUAACGCGUGGGAACGUGCCCUUUUCUACGGAAUAGCCUCGGGAAACUGAGAGUAAUACCGUAUACGCCCUUUGGGGGAAAGAUUUAUCGGAAAAGGAUCGGCCCGCGUUGGAUUAGGUAGUUGGUGGGGUAAUGGCCUACCAAGCCGACGUUCCAUAGCUGGUUUGAGAGGAUGAUCAGCCACACUGGGACUGAGACACGGCCCAGACUCCUACGGGAGGCAGCAGUGGGGAAUCUUAGACAAUGGGGGCAACCCUGAUCGAGCCAUGCCGCGUGAGUGAUGAAGGCCUUAGGGUUGUAAAGCUCUUUCAGCUGGGAAGAUAAUGACGGUACCAGCAGAAGAAGCCCCGGCUAACUCCGUG